UUGGAAUGAUGAGAUUCCACUUCAUUGGUCCGUGUUUCUGAAACACAUGAUUUUGUGGAAGUUCUGACUUG
rnacentral:snoRNA from 1 species